rnacentral:rRNA from 1 species
CCCUUAGAUGUUCUGGGCCGCACACGCGCUACACUGAAGGAGGCAGCGUGUACUCCUGGAUCGAAAGAUUUGGGUAACCCGCGAAUCUCCUUCGUGCUAGGGAUUGAGGUUUGCAAUUAUCCUUCAUGAACGAGGAAUUCCCAGUAAGUGCAAGUCAUAAGCGUGCGCUGACUACGUCCCUGCCCUUUGUACACACCGCCCGUCGCUACUACCGAUUGAAUGAUUUAGUGAGGACUUCGGACUGGGACCGAUGCGGCUUUCGGGCUGCGUCGGUAUUCUGGAAAGAUGUCCAAACUGUAUCAUUUAGAGGAAGUAAAAGUCGUAACA